CGGAGGAUCCAAGCGUUAUCCGGAAUCAGUUGGGUUUAAAGGGUCCGUAGGCGGUUUUGUAAGUCAGUGGUGAAAGCCCAUCGCUCAACGGUGGAACGGCCAUUGAUACUGCAAGACUUGAAUUACUAGGAAGUAACUAGAAUAUGUAGUGUAGCGGUGAAAUGCUUAGAUAUUACAUGGAAUACCAAUUGCGAAGGCAGGUUACUACUAGUGGAUUGACGCUGAUGGACGAAAGCGUGGGGAGCGAACAGGAUUAGAUACCCUGGUAGUCCACGCCGUAAACGAUGGAUACUAGCUGUUCGGAGCAAUCUGAGUGGCUAAGCGAAAGUGAUAAGUAUCCCACCUGGGGAGUACGUUCGCAAGAAUG
rnacentral:rRNA from 1 species